UAGGGAAUCUUCGGCAAUGGACGGAAGUCUGACCGAGCAACGCCGCGUGAGUGAAGAAGGUUUUCGGAUCGUAAAGCUCUGUUGUAAGAGAAGAACGAGUGUGAGAGUGGAAAGUUCACACUGUGACGGUAUCUUACCAGAAAGGGACGGCUAACUACGUGCCAGCAGCCGCGGUAAUACGUAGGUCCCGAGCGUUGUCCGGAUUUAUUGGGCGUAAAGCGAGCGCAGGCGGUUAGAUAAGUCUGAAGUUAAAGGCUGUGGCUUAACCAUAGUAGGCUUUGGAAACUGUUUAACUUGAGUGCAAGAGGGGAGAGUGGAAUUCCAUGUGUAGCGGUGAAAUGCGUAGAUAUAUGGAGGAACACCGGUGGCGAAAGCGGCUCUCUGGCUUGUAACUGACGCUGAGGCUCGAAAGCGUGGGGAGCAAACAGGAUUAGAUACCCUGGUAGUCCACGCUGUAAACGAUGAGUGCUAGGUGUUAGACCCUUUCCGGGGUUUAGUGCCGUAGCUAACGCAUUAAGCACUCCGCCUGGGGAGUACGACCGCAAU
rnacentral:rRNA from 1 species